CUUGUACACACCGCCCGUCACACCAUGGGAGUGGGUUUCACCAGAAGUAGGUAGCCUAACCGCAAGGAGGGCGCUUACCACGGUGAAAUUCAUGACUGGGGUG
rnacentral:rRNA from 1 species